GGGUGAUAUCUGUCAGAUUACACUCAUGAGUUACCACCAGGUGAGUGGCUUGAGAGCCUCAUAACAUUGAGAUACUCUUGAGCGCAGUGUGCGCUGGAUUGUAUGCGAAAGAGAAAGUCAAAAGUGUAAAAUACUGUGAAAAUGGUGGACAAACUAGUAAACUCGGAGGCAAACGCCCGCCGAAUACAGAUGGUGGAAAACUGCUUCGGCAGCUCGGGCCAGCCACUGUACGUUCCGGGACGUGUCCUGGUCGGCGAGGGCGUCCUCACAAAGAUGUGCCGCAAGCGUCCAAAGGCCCGGCAGUUCUUCCUGUUCAACGACAUCCUCGUGUACGGCAACAUCGUAAUCGGCAAGAAAAAGUACAACAAACAACACUUGAUACCACUGGAGGAGGUACAGCUGCAAACCCUGGAGGACAACGGACAAUAUCGAAACGGUUGGCUGAUACGAACCGCAACCAAGUCGUUUGCCGUUUAUGCGGCAACACAAACCGAAAAGCAAGAGUGGAUGGCCCAUAUAAACAAAUGCAUCGAGGAUUUGCUACGAAAAAGUGGCAAAAAGCCCGUCGAGACUCAUGCCGCUGUCUGGGUUCCGGACAGUGAGGCCAACAUUUGCAUGCACUGCAAGAAAACGCAAUUUACCAUGUUGAUUCGAAGGCAUCACUGUCGAAACUGUGGCGCGGUCGUGUGCGGACCGUGCUCGUCGAAGAAGUUUGUCCUAGCCGGACAGAGCACGAAGCCGUUGCGCGUAUGUCUGGACUGUUACGAUAGCCUGAGCUCGAUGAAGCGGGAAGAGAGCAAAGGCAUUUCGGCCAACAACAACAAACCAGUCACGUCGCCAGAGAGUUCCGGUGAUGAUGACUCGGACGAUGAGGAGGAAUCGAAGGAUACACAUGAUCAGAGCUUUAGAAGUCACUGCACGCCACCGACGACGGUCGUGUGUGUAUGAUAGAAGGAGAAGGAGAAGCGGAGGAGUGACCAGGUGACAGGAAUAGGCGGUAAAAGUAGUGCGGGGAGAGUGACCAACAAACCUCUUCGCUUCAUGCAUCGAAUUUUGCAAACAUGAAGUGUAACACGAAAUAGGCUUAACGGUGAUAGUGGUUUUAUUCCUUUUUCGCUCUGACGUAAUGUCGUUAUUUUUUGCAAGAGGAUCCCGCAGAGAAGAAGAAAAAAAUUGACCAAUAACCCAAGUUUUACGGAGAUGAGAAACCUGAAAAGUAGCCCCAACAAAGCGGAAGCAACCCUCCCACAAAAAAGCCAGAUUUGUGCAAAAGUCUCACCAAUAACAAAAACAACAACAAUCGUGCACGGAAUGCAGAAACUUUCCACAGAAAACAUUUCAAAAGAGGCGAAACUUGUCUAAGCUUGCGUUUGGCACACUUUCUGUCGUUGAUUUAAUAUUUUAUUUUCUAUGAGUGUUCGCAUUUAGCAAAAUACAAGCAAAUGAAACCAACAACCUCCUUUUGAAAUGUUGUUUUGCAGUUAUUAUUUUAGCCUACAGACAGUGUACGUAGAAACGAGUAUUUUAUCUGUUUAGAGUUAGAACCCCGCAAAUUCCUCCUUGAUCAGCGUGGAUUUAGUUGAUGUCCUUCUUCAAACUAUAAAACAACCUACUUUCCACUCAUUGAAAAAUGAACAUUCGGUAUUGGUAACGGUUUUUAAGGAAAAAUUACGCCUCAGCGAUUACGAAAGAGCAAAUUUUGGCUACCUCCGUCAAACUUAAUUCAACCGCUUGAAAAUAUAAAAUCUAGUUAUCAUUAUAUUAAAUAUUUGUUUUACUCAUGUUCUAAACAUCUUUCAUUUAGUUACAUCUCAAAGUACACUGAAUAAAAAUUAUGGCUGAAUGAAACGUAAAACGGGAAACUCUUUGAAAAAGAAAACCAUUUAGCACGACCCAUUGUAUAAAAUGUCAUUUAUCCAUUUAUUAGAUUCGACGACCCUAAAAGGCUUUUCCUAUCCAUGUUGCACGAUAUUCAUUACGAUUUAAUUGAAAGGAUAUUCUCAACAUUUCUGUCCUUGCUUUUCCUGUACUAUUGUCAAAGAUAAAUCCGCGAGUUGUUUGAAGAAUGGUUUCAGAUCGUUUUCAUAUUCUUACACUAAAUCAUGGAAUCGGUGUUCGUCCAAGCGUUUAAUAAAAAAAACUCUUAACACCUUUUCAAGGCAGAUGUAGGAUAGAGCUUGUCUCGAUUUUCAAGUGUUUACACCUUUCUUUAUCAAUAUAACAUGCUAUUAUUCGUUAAGUUAAUCAAAUCAAGAUGUAUAUGAAUAAUAUUUAACAGUAUAAAUAAAACAUAGAAAAUUGCUCAUA